rnacentral:lncRNA from 1 species
CGAUAUUAUGCUUUAAUCUAUUUUUAAAUUUUCAGAAAUUGACAUGGGCUCUAUCCUAAAGGAAGGAGGGAACACCUAGAAGUAAGUGACAAAUAUUACGUAACAUUUAUGGUCAUAGUCACAUGUUUAUCUCAUGUUUUAACUUCAUAUUUCAUUUAAAUAUAUAUAUAAGCAGUAUUUUGGUUCCAAAACUAAGAAUAUCAUGGGGAACAUGUUUUUUAAUGUGUCAGACCAUUUCAUUGUUUACAACAUGUGUUUUCGUUGUUAAAAAAAAAUAUCAAUGGAUGGUUUAAAGGAUCAAUAUUAAAUUAAAACCUUGUAUGCUAAAUUGUCAUCAAAUAUUAAUUUGAAUUUAUUUGAUGUUUAACUGGAUGAAGAAUUAUCCAAAAUAAGAAAUAACAAUAUUUCUAUUAAUGGCAUCCAUCAUUAUAAACAUAUUGUUGUUGUCAAUGUAGCGACAUAUUGUAAUGGUAAAUUUGUUUGUUUAAAACUGUUUAUGUAUCUGCAUACUUUUGUUUGAAUUUUAUUAUUUUGUAAUUCAUGUACAAAUGUAUUCUGCAACCUUUUUUUUGGGGAAAGUCCUAGAAUGAAAUGUAUUUUAGGAUAUAAUAUUUCCCAAAUACAAAAUCACCAUAAGUGUGACAAGAAAUCCUAUAUGUUGUUGUUGGUGUCAUCAACAUUUAGGUUGGACUGUGGUAAAGUGUUUUUUAGACAACAAUAAUUUUUAGGCUUCAUUUAAUUUUUCAAAACAAUUGACAGAAACCACCAUCAAGCUAAAUUUUUGUUUAUAGUUAAGAUUUUGAUACAGUAUAGGAUCCAAGGUUUUCAAUCAUCAAUAACCUUCUCUUUUUUUUUAAGACUUCAUUGAAUUUCAGCAAACUUUUAUGGAAUCAUCUUCAUAUUAAAAUUAAGAAUGGAAGCAGGGAAUAUGUCAAAGAACCAACUACCUAAAUAAAGAUCAAAGAACAGCCAAAGGCCACUGAUGUUCUCAUAAGCAAGAGAAUACAAUACACAUCUAUAGUAAAAAAAAAAAAUAUCACUAAUUGUUUUUAUAUAACAAAAUGCAUAAUUUUACCUGAACUAUACAUGUUUUCUCCAGAGUCCUGCAUAUAUCUACUAUUGAAUCAUGGUAUUGUUUAUAAAUUGAAUUGUAUAGGGAUUCAUUUCAAUGUUUCCAGUUUCCAGUAAUUAUGACAUUUAUUCUCUUUAAAGUUUAAAAUUUUAUUGGAGUUUUAAUUCUGUGGAUAAAAUCUAUUCACAAAAAUAUUAAAACUGAAUUGAAACAUGAAAAAAAAGUUCUGCUUUUAAAAUUUAUAUUAAUUAUUUAUUGAUUUCAAACAUAUAUUUCCAGAAAGUCUAUCUCCCGAAGGUAUAACUAAUGAUUUAUUUUAAUAUUUAUCCUAUUUAGCAUGAUUCUGUAUUAUAUAAAUAUAUUUUCUGUUAGUAGAGGUAUAAUUGUACUGCGCAGCAGUACACAUUGUAAAGGCAGUGAUCAGAAAAUUAUUUUUAUAAACAGUAUCAAUAAUGCCCCAGAAUAGUUAUCAUGUACCAAUUAGUUUACACAUGUGAUAGAUAAAGGUUGGAAGGGAGGGAAAGGGUUUAGUAAUUAUUGCAUCAGUAUUUUAUCCAUUCAUUCUUUGUAUCAACCAAUUCAUUCAUACUUUAAAAUGAGGGGUUAAAAUUGACCCUUGAAAUAAAGUAUUUUUUUUAUAGCCAAAAUACAUAUUUGAAUUGUUGUGAUAUAACUAUUAAUACAGAAUUAUUUCCUUUUCACACAUCUUAUUACAAAUACUGAAGUUAUGACCCCUGAAUUAUGCAUUAAUAUAAAAAAUUGUUGUUACAUCAGUUUUGUUGUGAUAUUUGACUGAUAUUUUUUUUAGCAUAUAUUACUUUGGACACAACCCCUAAUCCAGAAAUUGUUGUGUUAAUAGGGAUUCAUUGUAAAGCUGUCACCUUUUGGUUUCAGAACAUGAAACAUGUUCACAUGAAUAUGGAUUUAAAGAAUUCGAAUUAUUCACUUGCAAGUGAAUAAUUCAUGUGUGAUUAGUGAUGUUUCUUUGUUUAUUUUGACAAUACUGAACCUAACUGACUGCUAAAAGUGAAUUAUUAUUGUAUAUUUCACAUUCCUUAAUGAUUGAACCAAAAAAAAAUCAUAUUUUAUUUUUUCUAUAUCUCCUAGCUAGCCCCUUUGAUGAGAAUUGUAUGUCUGUGAGCAUGGUGAGAGUAUUGCAGUAAUUAAAACUUAAAUUCUACUAUCUGAUAUUUAUAUAAUUUAAUUUUGGAUGUAACACGUCUUCUGAUUGGCUGAUGUUAUUUUGUUAUCAGCCCAUAGACAUAAUUUAGUCAUGUGACCAUGAUGUCAUCAACGUUUUUCAUGAUUUUCUACGGUUUAAAAUGAAAUUUAGAACUAAAUUUUAGAAAUGACUGUAAUAUUUUUUCUGUCUAUUUGAAAUAACAAAAAAUGUGGUGCACACUGUUACCUUAUGCUAUGCGCGUUAUUCAGUAUGCACCAAAUUUUUUAUGUUAAUUCUUCCUGACAAUCAGAAUAGUUUGUGACUAUGCAGUAAUUUAUGUUUAUGUUCCGGGACAUAUGAGUAUUUGGACCAUACGCGUAUGGUCAUGACCAUAUGGGUAUAUACUCAUAUGGUCGGGGUAAUUAACACUAUGUAACACUCUGUUACAGUUUACUUUUAAACUUAUAAACUAUUUAUAUGGUAUGAGUAGAUAGCUGUGGUGUAGUUGUUAGUGCAUCGGACUACUAACAUAAAGAUUCCUGGUUUGAUUCCCGUUUGGGAUGAAAAUUUCAGGGACUCAAUUUUCGGCUCUCCCUUGACACCAUCUGCGAGUAUGGUCUUGAGAAAACGAUGAUAGUCCGAAGGAAGGGGACGAUAAAUGGCUGACCCGUGUUAAGAGAGGGCCAUAUCUCUUGCACGUUAUAGACACCCUUGUAGAUUUCGAAAAAGAGUAGGCUAAUGCCGCUACAAGGCAGCACUCGCACCCGCAAAGUGGAAAGGGAUUAAUAUAAGUUGCAAAACUUGUUUCCCAAUCCACUAUUAAUAAAUAUGUUUAAACUAUGACAGUUCAUUAAAUUUUAUUAUUAUAUUAUAAUAAAAAUUAGCUAAAUAAGAAUUAGAAGUUUCACAUAGAUAAUUUUAUUUUAUUUUACUAUAAUUGCGAAAACUAGGAUAAAUGCAUUUUAUACCGAUAGUCAUUACCGAUUUUUUUUAUUACGAUUGACUCAAAAAAAAAUUCUUGGACUGUUACAAAAGAUUUGAAGGCACUAGAAAGUAACAUAGUUUAUUUAAUUUGUCUUGUGAAUAUGGUGUACUGCAGUCAUGUUACGGUAUUUGAGAUCUAAAGCGUUUUAUCGGAAUGGCCCAAGACCUCGAUAUCACUGUACGCAGCUGCAAAAAGGCUGCAUGGCUUUUCACUCGCAAACAAAAGGUUAAAUGAAAAGGAUCGUGCACAACCAAGACUUAAAAAUGAAAAAAAAGCUAUGAUACCGUGUGGAAGUAAAUGUCACCCCAAGCCUACAUACAAGAAUGUAAUUAGAGAUGAAAACUAACUAUGGCAUCAAUGUUUAAUUUUUACGUAGUUUUUGAAUUAUAAAAAGAAUACACUGUCAUGGAAGUAAACCAUCAUUGUUUUUUUAGAUAAAGUUUUUGUAUUAUUGAAAUUUUUAAAUGUAAUUAAAAAAAAAUACCUAUAUGGUCAAAAUACUCAUAUGGUCCGGCCCGUUAAUAACCAAACGAGUAUUAUACUCAUAUGGUUAUGACCAUAUGCGUAUGGUCCAAAUACUCAUAUGGUCCGGAACAUUUAUAAAUCGUACGGACUGGACUUUCAGGGAUUUGUCUGACUAUUUUAAAAGAUAGUCUUCAAACUUCAUAGUAAUUUUAAUUUUAGCACACAUUUUUUGAAUCUUAAGAAUAAUGGUAGAUAAAUUAAGAUUUUGAGUAGCAGUCAAAGUGCAGAAAUUGAACACAUAAAUAAAAUCAUAUUUCAGUGUUGGAAGUGAGUGAACUGAAACAUUAGUGCAAACCUUAUAUAAUAGGGAUGGUGCGUUAUAUAAUUCAACAACACAAUAUCAAUGAGGUACUUGUUUUCGUAAUCUUUUAUUUUGUCAAUAUAUAUAUUCUUGCCAUUUUACCUGGCUGGUUUGGCGGCACUGGUUCAGUCUUGUUUGUAAUGUUCGCUUACAUAUGAUCAAGGGCCAAAUAAUGCAUUUUGCAACCUAAGAUGACUCACACAAUUACAUUGCACUAAAAGUUAUAAAAUUAGACAUUAAAACAUCUUGACAUUACUUGAACCGUGGUGCUAUAAAAUAUCAGUCAAACCUAUUUCCUCUUUUCUAGACAUUGAAAUAAUGACAAAAAGUAGAUUUUUCAGAGCAAAAAAUGCUUAUUUCUGGAACAUUUUUAAUUUAUUGACAUAGAGCACAAUCCAGUGGUGGAUCCAAAACUUUUUGUAAGGGGGGACUGCUGACUGACCUAAGGGGGGCUCCAGUCACUCCCUAUAUAAUCAACCAAAUUUUUCCCACUAAAAAGGGGGGAUGCCCUGCCCACCAGUAUGCAAUCUUUGAAAGAAAGUUAAAUUUUGCCAGUGAAAGAAAGAAAAAAAACCCACUACCUGUGUGUAUAUCUUGUUGGUGACAUUUGUGCUCUAUUUUUUGUUAACACAUGUGAAACUAAAUGGGCCAGAUUUUGGGGCAAAUAUUGACAACAAAAAACAGUUUUUAAAAGAAAAGAUCCCAUUUUCUCAUAUUUUUCUGGUGCAUGUUGAUGUUAUAUCUUCAUGUUUUAUUUUAGGUAGAUGGAAUUAAGAAUUUAUCAAAGUACAAGACUGCUUAUUGAUUACAAGUGAUUCUUAUUCUUUAAAAACAUAAUUUGUUUUUACAUUUUAGCAACAUUUAAAGCAGAAUUUGUUACCCUUCUAGAUUACACUAAGAUCACCUUCUAAAUUAAUGGGAUUUGUUUUUCUGAAGCUGACUGCUGUUCCCUCUUCUUUGACUUUUUAUUGAAUUGAGAGUCCUUUUAUGGCUGUAUAACCCAACAAAAGCUUAUAUUUUGCACCAAAACUGCAAUGUUUUAUUGAAGUUGUCCAAAUUUUAAGUUAAUGUAGACAUUUAGUGUUUGUGUCACAUAUUGCUUCUGCAAAAUUGACAAGGUUCUUUAAUAAAAUGCUAUCUUAAUUACUAAAUAAGAAUCUUUAAUUGAUUAAUUAGCCAUUUGUGGCUUUGUAAAGGAUUUGUAGAGCCGUGCUCAGAAGGAGAGGAGGAUACUGCUCUACCCCUAACCCGAAUAAUUCAGUCGUUAUAUUCCGUAUAUGAUCUACGAAGGCUACAUUAACGCCUGAACGUCUUCCUCAAUCAAGACCGUCACCCGGAAAAUUUAAACCACUAUGCAAUAUGGGAAUUUUGAUUUAAAUUGGCAGCUAAAGAAGGAGGAUUUCCGGAUGUUAAUUGAUGUUAAAUGAUGUAAACUGAUGUUAAUUGAUGUUAAGGGCAUACCAUACAGUUACAGGGAAGGUAAUGACGUUGCUAAUGUAAAAUGUUAUUUUCGCGACGUCAACCUCUAACAUAUCGGGAAAAGAUGCAUUUUUCGACUGAUUUUUAUCAUUCAAACUGAUUUAAUUUGAAAACGAGUGCAUGGACCCCUAUUUUUUAAAACAGCAAUUUGUUUCAUUUUGCAAGGAGAUUAUGUGACCCAAAUAAAACUGUAAAUAGUGCAAUUUUUUUAAUUUUGAUAAACAUGGAGCAAAAAAUGACGUUUUUUGCUCUAUUCAUGAACAUUUGAUAAAUAUAGAGUUAUUUCGGAAUAAAAAUUGCAUAAUUUUUAAUGAUACUUAUAAAAUACAGAAAUUACUGAUUAUUUAACAAAAACCAUUUUGUGUUUAUCUUUUAAAACAAAAAAGUUAUGUCUUUCUUUCGAAAAAGAAAAUACGGACACAAAUCUGAAUUUUGAGCAAAUAUACAAAAUUUCGAACUCAUUUUACUCAAAAAGUAGCACAUGAAGGUAUAUUUUUUAUUACAUAUUUGAUUUAAUGAGGUAAAAAAAUAGCCUAUAUGCAAAUUUUCAUCAACUUGUAAAUACAGGUUCAAUACUGUAUCGUAUGCCCUUAAUUAAUUAUUAUCGGAUUUGUGUUAAUUGAACACACAUGUUUGGUAAGACAAUUACAAGACAGUUGCGCAGACUCAUUAUCCUCAUCACCGCCGAUUGGCUCUUGCUCACAGAGAGCAGGCGACGCUGCCAAUGAUCAUAAGGAGUUCAAUCCCUCUUGUGGGAGAAAAUCGGACACGGAAAGGGCUUGAAUUAUUCGAGUUACUCUACCCCCUGUUUAUAAAAUCUAUAUCCAUACCAUGAAAUUCUCUGUACUUUUCUGAACUACAAAUUAAUUCAGAUCAUUUUGUCGCAUGCUUUACUGUUAGGUUGCAUUUACAAAUUGCCCACCAACUUCUUGCUUAUUGAAUCUUUAUGUAUUAUUAAACAUAAUUAAUGACCAUUUAUGAAUUUUUAACCAGAUUUUUGUGACAAAAAUGUCAGUUAUUGAUUUGGGGAUGUACGGCGGGCGGGCGGUCGGUCGGUUGGGUGGGUGGGUCUUCGUGCAUUAACUCAUGAACCGUUCAAUCAAAGCUUUUAAAAUUUUAAUAUGUUGUUACUGACAACUAAAUGAAGGUCAAGUUCAAUAAUGGCGAUUUUGACUUUUACCGUUCAGGAGUUAUGGUUCUUGAAAGAUUGAAAAAUGGAGUUUCCAGUCGUGUCCGUGCAUUUACGCAUGAACUGUUCUACCUAAGCUUCCCAAAUUUUAAUAUGUUGUUACUGAUGACAAAAUAGAGGUCAAGUUCAAUAAUGACAAUUUUGACUUUUACCGUUCAGGAGUAAUGGUUCUUGAAAGAUUGAAAAAUGGUGUUUCCAGUCGUGUCCGUGCAUUUUCUCAUGAACUAUUCAACCAAAGCUUUUGAAAUUUUUAUAUGUUGUUACUGAUGGCAAAUUAGAGGUCAAGUUCAAUAAUGACGAUUUUGACUUUUACCGUUCAGGAGUUAUGGUUCUUGAAAGAUUGUGAAAUGGCGUUUCCAUUCACGUUGUUGCAUUUUCUCAUGAACCAUUCAAUCUAAGCUUUUCAAAUUUUAAGAUGUUGAUACUGAUGACAAAAUGGAGGUCAAAUUUGAUAUUGACGAUUUUCACUUUCACCAUUCAUCAGUAAUGGUUCUUGUGAUAUUGCCAGGACACAAAUAAAUAUUAACCCUUUCCUCCAUAAUGACGCCUUUUGACGCCACCCCCUUUACUCCAUAAUGACACCUUUUGACGCCUGUGUAGUACCUCAGUUGAAAUGCUUUGACUACAAAAUGUCUGCAUCAGACUUAAAAAAAAUUGUAUCCAAUAUGAAAAGGAGAUUCAUGAGAAUUAUCUGACUUCAAUUUCAUUGAUGAAAUAUUAGUUUUCACAAUGCAUUAGCACUUUAAAACUGAUGAUUUUUUUAAUGAAAAAAAUCCUAUGCGAAUCAAGUAUAUUAAAAAAAAAAAUCCAUGGAGGAAAGGGUUAAUAAAUCCGGUUUGCUGUCGUUGUGACAGCCUCUUGUCUAUACCUUUCCUAGUAGUUAAUCAUCUUGGUAUCCAGAAAUCAUUGGAGAAUGUUUUACUGUUUUAGGAGUUUUCACAUCCAACACUCUUCAACUUCUUGUUUGCAUACUAUGUUGGGGUAUCAUCAGUUAAUUAUAGCAGUAGCAUACACUUCCAACUUCUUCAAUUUCAAAAUGAAGCUUAUAGUUACAGUUAGUUCAUUGAAAAAGUGACAAAUAAUAAUGGUAUAAGGCAAAAACAUGUUUUCUGCAUAUUCCAUGUAAUGUAAAACAUUUUGAUAUUAUUUUUUUUAAAGAAGUUGGCAAGAUAAAUGAGUUUGUUCUUAGUAUCUCAAGUCAUUGCUUCAAUUAUCUCCACUAUACAUCAUGUUUGACUGAGAGAUAAUAAUAUUGAGAAAAAAAUAAAUGCUAAAUUCCAAUCUAAUGAAUUUGGUAACAAACAAUAAGUUAGAUGAUUAUAUUUAGUUUUGUGUACUAUUUUUUCUAUGGCAUGUAGUUAUAUUUUUAUGUUUUUUGUAAUAGAUGGAAUAAGAAAAAAACUGAAAACAGCAUUCUAAGAAUAACUCAAUUACUUAGUGGAAGUAAUCUUAUUUAUAGGUUUACUUAUUGAUAAUAAAGUGCUUCUUUUUCUUUAUGAUUAUUAGUGAUUUUGUUUGUCAGAUAUAAAAAGUGAUUUUUUUUUUUGUCAGAUAUAAAAAUGUAAAGAAAAGAAGAUAGACAACUUCCCACCAGAGACCAAAUGAUGUAGAAAUUAGUAACUGUACUUCACUGCCUUUAACAAUGAACAAAACUCAUAUAGCACAGCAAGCUUUAAUGAGGCCCUGAAAUGACAAAUGUAAAACAAUUUAAAAGAGAAAACUCCUAUCCUGUUUAUAAACAAAACCAAUAUGUUUAAGGCCGUAUGGUGACCUAUAGUUGUAAUUACUGUGUCAUUUGAUCUCUUGUGGAAAGUCGUCUUAUUGCCAAUGAUACCACAUCUUCUUUUUUAGGAGUUCAGCACAAAGCUGUUAAUUUCUAAUAGGAAGGUCAGGUUAGAGUACAAACCAAAUAUUGAUGCCAUGAAAUUAAUGCAAUAGUACCGGUAUAUAAGUUAAACAAAAAUAUAGGACUGCACACUAAUCCACACCAACAUUCCAACUAGUAUGACAAACAACACAUGGUCAAUAGUUUGAAAAGGGCAAUAACUAUGAAUGAGAAAUUAUGUCAUGGUAUUCAAUUCCAUAUUCGUGACAUUACUGAGUAUAACACAAACAAAUAAUAGAAUUACUUAUCAUAUACUUAGACUAAAUAACAUAUGAUUUUUACUGUAUGAUAAUAGCAUUAAAUUAACGUAAAUUCCAUAUUUUUCGAAUGGGUUUUAGCGGGCUGAUAUGAAAGUUUAUCACAUGCUUGAUUGUUAUCAAUGCCUUUCCGUAACGUUAUCACAUGGCAUUCCGGUGAUACUCGGCAAAUUCCGGAAAAUACACCUCAAUGCUACGUUUUCUGAGUGAAAACUUACGAAUAAGUAUACAAAACAUUAUUUAGUACUGAAAAGUAUGCUGUGUAAAAAAAACAAAAUAAAAAAAUAAAAAAAAAAUAACAAACAAACAAAUUAUUAAACAAAUGCAUUCUUAUAGUUUCAACAUAAUUAAGUACUUUGAAAGGUUGACUUUUCCAAACAGUGUUCAUUAUGUAUGUUGUGUGUUUUUUUUUUUUUGAGCCAUGCGGCUCUUGGGCUGAUAUUGAACCUAGGGCUGAUAAUACAUGCGAUAUGAAAAAUGCCAUGUAAUAAUCUGAUAUUAUUAAACAUGUUAAGAAGCAAAUCAAACUUAACAAACAACAUAUUUAUGAUAUUUGGAGUUAGGAAACUUUCAAGCAUUAUUUACACAUUAUUGUUCAAUAUAAGAAAUACUUGACACACUAAGAAACAGGAAGAAGAUGCAUGGAUAAAAGAAAUGUUAGGCACAAUGUUUCCUUGUGUUAAGUGUUCAGUUAUUAACCCCAACAACUUGAAUUUAAAUAUUGCAUUUAAUACCAAAACAAAAUUUUAAAAAUAUUCUUUUGGGCUUUCAUAAUACAGAUUUUCAGUGAGGAUUUUUGGAGAAAAUUCUUCUAUCAAAUCUAGUGGACAUUUUUUCUCUCUCACCUAGAAAAAAUAUUUUUUUCUUACACAUUUUAAUUUAUUCCAAUACUUUCCUUUCUUAUAAAAAGGUAAUGACAGCAAUCCAACCAUACAAAUAACAAAAAAAGUAUCUAGAGGUCAUACAUAAUCAAAUUGUAUAGAAAAAAAUAUUACUACUUUUGGUAUUUAGGGAAAUAAAAGUUUUCUUUGGGGUUGCAUAUUAAAUUGAUUUACCAUUACCUAGAACAAUUCCCUCUUAAUAAUGGGAACAGGUUUGAAAUCCUUGAAAAACUAGCAACAUUUUAGUUUGAAAAAUUUGUCUAUUUUAAACAGGAUGAAUGUAAAGGAUUGAUUGAUUGAUUUGUACCGAAAUAAAAGACGAAGGUGUAUUAAAAGAAAGCCUUGAAAAUGUAAAACUGAUUUACACUGAAGUUGAUUAAGCACAUUUUGUCUGCAUGUUAAGUUAAUUUAAAAGGUGUGAUGUCACUCAAGUCAUAUUUUAAUUUAAAAGGUUUCUUUCAUCCCAUAUUAAACAUGCUUGGCAACAGACGGUCAGAAAAUCUAUUUUGGAUUGAAAAAAUAAGCAAGCAGAUAAUUUAGGAAGCAAGUUUUUGUAAUUUUGUGUCACAAAGACUUAAUACUAUUGUGUUGCAAUAAAAAUUGAUCAUAGCUACAGAAACAUUGAGGCGGUCUUCCUAUUAGGUUUGUAUUAAACGGAAUUGCUUCAGGGGAAAAUGGUGUCCUGAAUUAACUUAUUACAACACUUUAUUGAUUAUCGGGGAUUACAUAAUAUUACACACGCUAGGCUCAAAUUGCCUCCAAGCCUCUACCAGUAAUUUCAUUUGCAAAUCCGUCUUAUAAUUCUAUCUUUUGAAUUCAUGUCUGCUUUGGUACAAAUAUAUUGUCUGCUUUGGUAGAAAUUCUAACAAAAGUGGAAUCAAGUGAAGCCUCAUUUAUUAUGGUUUCAAUGACAUUAAUUAAGGGUACAAAGACUUAAAAAGUCUAAGAAUACCAAGAUCCAGACACUGCUUUAAGCAAGCAUAAACCAAAAAAGACAUAUUUCUGUUGGUAAAAACCACCAAUAUUUUGUAAAAUUUAACGAGCUUGUAAAUUACUGGUAUAUGUAGUUCUCUGCUUGAAUCCUUGUAUAUUUUCUUCAUAUGACUAUAGUGUAAUAUUCCUGUGAAGAUUAUACUUUCAUGUAUGGAACGUGUGACCAUGGCACAGUUAUCAUUCUUAUAUCAGUGCUUAUCUGCAGCUUCUGUGUCUGAUAUGCUAGAUAACAUAUUAUGUCUGCAUUGACAAUGUGUUCUCCAGGCAAUAAUAAUUUAUAUCAGCCUGAAGUUUUUUUGUAUUUAUUAUAGGUUAUGGCAGACAAAACAUAAAAAUAUUAGUGAUCUAUUGCUCAUGUUGCUUGUAAUUUAUAAAAUUAUUGAAUUGAGGCAUAUUGAUAUCAAUAAAAAAUGUUACAAAUGGAUAAAUGAUAGGAAUAAAUAGGAUCUGUAUCAGUGAUCAAAAGAAAUUAACAUGUCAGCUGUACUUCUGUGGUACAUAUACAUUUAAAUCAGUAAAAAUUGAGACAGAACCUAAAAAAGUCUCAAUCAAUUUUUGUUGAAUUUGCAUAAAUGAUUAUACAUGUAAUUUCUUUAAAUAAAUAUUUUUAAUUGUUUUUUAGCUCACCUGGCCCCAAGGGCCAAGUGAGCUUUUCCCAUCACUUUGCAUCCGGCGUCCAGCGUCGUCGUCGUCCGUCGUUGUUAACUUUUACAAAAAUCUUCUCCUCUGAAACUACUGGGCCAAAUCAAACCAAACUUGGCCACAAUCAUCAUUGGGGUAUCUAGUUUAAAAAAUGUGUGGCGUGACCCGGCCAACCAACCAAGAUGGCCACCAUGGCUAAAAAUAGAACAUAGGGGUAAAAUGCAGUUUUUGGCUUAUAACUCAAAAACCAAAGCAUUUAGAGCAAAUCUGACAUGGGGUUAAAUUGUUUAUCAGGUGAAGAUCUAUCUGCCCUGAAAUUUUCAGAUGAAUCGGACAACCUGUUGUUGGGUUGCUGCCCCUGAAUUGGUAAUUUUAAGGAAAUUUUGCUGUUUUUGGUUAUUAUCUUGGAUAUUAUUAUAGAUAGAGAUAAACUGUAAACAGCAAUAAUGUUCAGCAAAGUAAGAUUUACAAAUAAGUCAACAUGACCGAAAUGGUCAGUUGACCCUUUAGGAGUUAUUGCCCUUUAUAGUCAAUUUUUUAACCAUUUUUUCGUAAAUCUUAGUAAUCUUUUACAAAAAUCUUCUCCUCUGAAACUACUGGGCCAAAUUCAACCAAACUUGGCCACAAUCUCAAUUGGGGUAUCUUGUUUAAAAAACAAGUGGCUUGACCCGGCCAACCAACCAAGAUGGCUGCCACAUGGCUAAAAAUAGAACAUAGGGGUAAAAUUCAGUUUUUGGCUUAUAACUCAAAAACCAAAGCAUUUAGAGCAAAUCUGACAUGAAGUAAAAUUGAUUAUCAGGUCAAGAUCUAUCUGCCCUGAAAUUUUCAGAUGAAUCUGACAACCUGUUGUUGGGUUGCUGCCCCUGAAUUGGUAAUUUUAAGGAAAAUUUUGCUGUUUUUGGUUAUUAUCUUGAAUAUUAUUAUAGAUAGAGAUAAACUGUAAACAGCAAUAAUGUUCAGCAAAGUAAGAUUUACAAAUAAGUCAAAAUGACUGAAAUGGUCAGUUGACCCUUUUAGGAGUUAUUGCCCUUUAUAGUCAAAUUUGAACCAUUUUUCGUAAAUCUUAAGUUAUCUUUUACAAAAAUCUUCUCUGAAACUACUGGGCCAAGUUCAUUAUAGAUAGAGAUAAUUGUAAGCAGCAAGAAUGUUCAGUAAAGUAAGAUUUACAAACACAUCACCAUCACCAAAACACAAUUUUGUCAUGAAUCCAUCUGCGUCCUUUGUUUAAUAUUCACAUAGACCAAGGUGAGUGACACAGGCUCUUUAGAGCCUCUAGUUUGUUAUUAUCUUGAAUAUUAUUUUAGAUAGAGAUAAACUGUAAACAGCAAUAAUUUUCAGCAAAACAAGAUCUACAAAUAAGUUUUCAUGACCAAAAUAGUCAAUUGACCCCUUAAGGAGUUAUUGCCCUUUAUAGUUAAUUUUUAGCAUUUUUCAUAAAUUUUUGUAAAUUUUUAGAAAAUAUUUUCCACUGUAAUUACUGGGCCAAGUUCAUUAUAGAUAGAGAUAAUUGUACCAACAAGAAUGUUCAGUAAAGUAAGAUCUACAAACACAUCACCUUCACCAAAACACAAUUAUGUCAUGAAUUUAUCUGUGUCCAUUGUUUAAUAUGCACAUAGACCAAGGUGAGCAACACAGGCUCUUGAGAGCCUCUAGUUCAUCAAUUUUUGUAAAUUUUUAGAAAAUAUUUUCCACUGUAAUUACUGGGCCAAGUUCAUUAUAGAUAGAGAUAAUUGUAGCAACAAGAAUGUUCAGUAAAGUAAGAUCUACAAACACAUCACUAUCACCGAAACACAAUUAUGUCAUAAAUUUAUCCGUGUCCAUUGUUUAAUAUGCACAAGACCAAGGUGAGCGACACAGGCUCUUUAGAGCCUCUGGUUUUAAUCUUCAGUCAUGGUGUAUACAUAUUGCAGAAGUUUUUGUCCCAGCAAUGUCCACUUGGAAAAAAAAAUUAUUACAAUGAAUUUCUGUUUUAAAACUAUUGAAAUAAAACUGUUGAAAGAAGUUAAUACAUGUACUUAAGCUGUGUUCUGCACCUGUAAUUAUGGUUUGUCUUCAAGAUGUCAGAAAUAACUUGACUAAUUGGCAAUAAUACAGUAGAUUGAUAAUACAUGUAUGUUUGCAGGUGGUCUACUAGUGGUUCCACGAUAUAAUUUGUUACAUGUAUAAUGAUGACUAUGUUCACCUAGGGGUUCCAGCCUUCAGGUCCAAAGAGGUUAUUGUUGGUUGACAAUAUUGUAUCAUUUCAACGUUACACCAGGGGUGUUCAGUCUUGGUAUAGUUUUCUAUAGAAAGUAAUGAACAACUUUAUGAUAAAUAAAAGGGGUGUGGUAAACAUCAAUGAGACAGCAGCCCAAACUCAAAUAAGAAGAAAAUAUCAGAGAUCAUUGGCCCUGCCCUCUCAGUCAUAGUCUUCUGACAUUGAGAGUAUGCAAAGUGUUGUUAUUUUUUUAUGUCAACUUUUGCAUUUAUAAUACUAUUAAGACUGCAAACAGAUGAGACAUUUAUCUGUGUCAAUCUGUGAGUUAAUUGAAAUAUAAAUUGCCCAUGCAUUUUUUUUUAUUCAGAAAAUUCAAACUUAGUUUGUUCAAUUGUUUGAUUGUUUAUUUUAGAGGGUGGGGAGGGGAUGUGUUAGCAGGGCUUGAAAACCCUAUGUAACUAAAGUUUUUUUUACUAUAUUGAACUUCAGACGAUGUCCCUGUAUUGAUCUUUUAUAUCUAUUUUUUGUUAAGUGUAACUUAGUAUUUUUGUUGCAACUAGAAUAUGCAUCAAUUACAGAUGAUAUAUAGAAUAAAAUACACCAGAUAGCCUUUAUGGUUUAUAUUGUCUAUACAAGAUACUUCAAAAAUUAUAUUUUAAUGGACAAGUUUAAAUGGUGAGAUGCAUAUAAUUAUCUUUAUAUGAAAAGAUAGUUAUCCAACAACUGAUUUAAAAAGAUUUAUUUGAACAGUAAUUUAAAAUUUCCUAUUCAAGUAAGUGUAAAGGACUAUUUUAUACAAGAUGAUCUAAUAUUUUAUAUAAAUUAUUUUGUUUGGUAUCUGUUUUAUUGUCUGUAGAACUUGUUUACAAAACAUUUAUUUAUUUAAAUAGAAAACCUUCUUUUAUAAACAUGUUCUGAAUAUGGAAUGAUCGUUAAAAUAAAUUUGAUGCAAAAGUUGAUCUCAUUAAUAUUCAGUUUUAUAUCUUAUUUUUAGAGAUGUCAAUGUAAACGUGAUUUAAAAAAAAGAAAGAUUUAAAAAAAAAAAAAAAAAAGAUUUGUAAAGAAAGCAAUCUGGUUUCACUUCCUGGCCAAGUGAAACUGCAAGUAAACAGCCAAGAGUGAGUCAUAGCCGGAAAAUAGAAAUAAAAAGCAAUAAUAAAAUUGUUAGAUUUGAAUAUGGUGUUUUUUCACAUCUUUAACUUACAAAAUUCAUUGAAAUGAUAUAACAUGGAACAUAUUUAGAUUUCUUAGAUAGAAACUGCCAUGUCAUUUAUAUUUGGUAGAAUUGAGAGUACCAUAUCCAUGAUGUGGAAUGUGAAUUAGCUGCAGCUGACUUGAAUCAGAUACAUAAAAUGCAACAUCAUGUUGAAUAAAUUAAUGAUUAUAUCUUUUGAAUUUUAUACUCUUGGGUUGGAUUAAUGAGGAGAAUUCAUUGUUUUGUCAACAUAUUUUAUUGAUAUACAUUAUACAUUUGUGAAUGUAUCUUGCUCUGUCAACAAUAGAGCAUUUAUACAGUCACUACUGUGUAUAUCCUGAUCAUAUAUGUUACUACAGUACAUUAAUUAUAAUAAUGUUAUAGUAUGGUCCAAGGACACAGUUAUUGUCCUUUGGUUUUCGUUGUCUACCAAUGUAGUCCAGUUCAAAAAGGUCAAAUUUUCUUCUGAAGCUGUCAAACUGAAUUUGAGACCCCUUUUACACAGAAUUGUCAAUAUUUUGAGUUAGAGUAGAGCUGGUAGAAGUUUCUAUAAAUUUGGCAUUAUUUGUCUAACUAGUAGUUCACUAUACUGUAAAAAUCUUUUUGAAAUAGAGCAGGUGAGAUUAUUUUAAACUGAAUUCAUUAUCUAAAAGACAACAAAUGGAAGUUUUUAACGACCUUGACUGGCUAUACAGCCCUUGCACGGUCGGCUUGGUGCCCGAAGGCGUUUGGUGAGCGUUUGAAUAAUUUUGCCAUCGGUCAGGAACGAGUGGUGGUCGCCAUUUUGGAGGUCGCCAUCUUGGUUUUGUGAGUUGUUUUGGUUUGAUAUGUUGACUAAUUUGAUGUUAUUUCUUCACAACGGCUGCUUUCAGGGCCAGUUUGGUCAGCUUGGCAGCCUGCUAACCUCGAUGAUGGAGUACUGGUAGAUGAGUCGUGGACGUAGUUCUAAAGAUGACAGGAAGCAUUAUCAGGACCAAAGCCGUGAGGCAGUGAAAUGAAGGUCAAUCAUCUAACACCUAGGAUACAGCCCUCGGACGUUAAUCGGCAUAACACUCCCCAUGAUACAAUGGGUUUUGGAGUUCAUGUUAACGCGGGGCGGCUCAACCAUUGCGUUUACUGUAUGGUGUUGGAUUGGUUACUGUCAUCUAAAGUACUAAGUCGUCGAUCAUCUAACUGUAAACCCUCAUCGAAGACAGCGGGUAAAGGAGAGCUGGCCCAGAACGUCCGUUCAGCUGUAAUGACUGAGACGUGACUGAAUGGAAUGAGGAUCUAAAAUAAAUGCACUCCUACAUAACUGUUCUGAUGUCUAAUGGAUUGUUAAAAAGCUGGAAAAAACUGUAGAUCUUAAAUAAAUUUUGCAAAUUUUUAUAGGGUAAUGCAAUUCAUUUUAAAACUUUUUCCAUCUGCAAGAAUAUAAAAGUGUGUUUUAUCUUAUUGAUUUGACAGUUUUUACAAAUACAUAUAUAUUUUCUUGUUCUUUUCAUUAUUUUUUUUUAACUAAGCCAUUUGAUUAAAGGGGAGAUAAAUCAGGUAAUCUAAUUGAAUUGAUAAUAUACAAUUUAUAACAACUUUUUUUGUAGCAAGAAAAUGAUGUCUGUAACCCAAUUUUAUUCUUUUUAUUUUCUGAAUGCACAUGAUAACUUUAUAGAGCUUUCUUUUCAUAUUUUAUUUGAAAAAUUUGUUUUUUUACAUUAUCUUCUACACAGAUAUCAUCAUAACAUAUAUUUUUUGCAAAGUUUGGAUUAUUAUAUCAUUUAAUUUAAAUAAGGUAAUAUACAGUCAACUUUUAAAAUAUUAUCUCAAGAAAAUGAGGUCUAUCACCAUUUUUGUGUUCUUUUCAUUUUGCCUUUAUAAUUUAAUAAUAUUUUACCUAAGUUUAAUAUAUAUAUAUACCGGUAUAUGAAUGGGAUACAGAGAUAAGUUGCUCUUGGCCUGACUUGAACUGUUAGUUGUGUAGAGUCAAUAUUUUUUACUUUUCUUGUGGAAGAAACAUUAGAGCAGUAUGCCACAAAAUCUUGAAAUGAGGUCCUAAGUUAAUUUGUUUGGGAAAUAGCUUGCUGACAAUUCUCUGAAACCAAUAAAAGCAUAUUAAACUUCCCAUGCCCACUGCAACACUGCUACAAACCCAUGUACCCCGUAAUGCUCUGUGAGAUGAAUUAUAAACAUGAAGUAAAAAACAAAAACUGUAAUGAUGCUGUUGAUCUACAGUUGCAUGACUGGAAGUUUUUCAUAAAAUUAGACAAUAAAAGAUCUUCUAUUACAGCUUGUGAAAGGCUUAGUUUUAAAUCAAUGAAUUCACAGGGUAUCAGACAAAGACAAUGAGAAUGAAGUCACCGCAAAAAAAUCACCUACUUUCACUUUCACUUCUGAGAAUUCGACAUUUUCUAAAUAUUACAUCAUACUUUAAAAGAAGUCUUUGUUAUUUUGGAAAAUGGCACUUUAUGUUGUUACUGGUUAUUAUUUUUUUUAAAUACAGUUCAGUAUUAAUGUAUUUCACUUUUGCAUUCCAUGAGUUAUGGUCCUUCAUGUACGGGAGUGUCUGUGAAAUUGCUAAUGAAUUGUUUCAAAAUCUUCUCUUCUAAUUUAAGCUGCUUUUGCAUGAUUAAAGAAGGUGUUCAAAUUGUAUAUUGAAGAUUUUCAUUUUUGCAAGAGUUAUGGUCCUUGUUUUAUUGAAAAUUUGCACCAUAUGUUCUUUUUCAAGCAGUUAUUUAUCAACUGUUCUACCAUAAUGCUUUUAAAAUUUUAAUAUCCUGUUAUUUUAACAAAAUGGUGAUCAAGUUUGAUAUUGCCAAUUUUCAUUUUUUGUCUUGAUGGAUUGGAAAAUUAGCAUAUAAGUUUCCUAAAAAAAAUAGCAUAAAAAAGCCAUUUCAAAUUACAGAAAAAAUACUAGUUUGUUUUCAAUUUGACAGCUCACUCCUUGUUAUAAUUUUAUGUAACUUUCAGCAUAGUCACUGUCAGGUGACAUCCUUUUAUUUUCUACUUUUUUGCUAUUCACAAUAUUUUUUUUUUUUUUUUUGUGAAAUAUUUUAAACUUUGUUUGAUAUCAUUCUUGGUGCAAGGUGUGAUAUUUUCAGUCAUUUUAAAUUCCAGUUGACAUGGUUGAUGCAUAUUAAGUAGUUUUUAUACCCCCGCUUUAAAAAAGGGGGGGUAUACUGUUUUACCUCUGUCUGUCCGUCCGUCAGUCCGUCAGUCCGUCCAUCAGUCCGUCCGUCAGUCCGUCCGUCAGUCAGUCCGUCCCAUGAAACUUUCGUCACAUUUUUCUCAGGAACUACACAUCCACCCUUUCUGUAAUUUGGUAUCAACAUUUAUAUAUGUUAGCCAUACCGUGUGAUGCGUUUUCAGAUUCAUCACUUGACAACUUCCUGUUUACCGAACACUUGUAUGAUUUUACACAUAAUAGCCAAGUUAAAAAUUUUCGUCACAUUUUUCUCAGGAACUACACAUCCACCCUUUCUGUAAUUUGGUAUCAACAUUUAUAUCUGUUAGCCAUACCGUGUGAUGCGUUUUCAGAUUCAUCACUUGACAACUUCCUGUUUACCGAACACUUGUAUGAUUUUACACAUGAUAGCAAGUUGAAAAUUUUCGUCACAUUUUCUUCAGGAACUACAAUACAAGGAUUCUGAAAUUUGGUUUGAUUUAUAUAAGUCAGCUAUACCGUGUGAUGCGUUUUCAGAUUCAUCACUCGACAACUUCCUGUUUACCGAACACUUGUAUGAUUUUACACAUGAUAGCCAAGUUGAAAAUUUUCGUCACAUUUUUCUCAGGAACUACAAAACAAGGAUUUCUGAAAUUUGGUUUCAGGAUUUAUAUAAGUCAGCUAUACCGUGUGAUGCGUUUUCAGAUUCAUCACUUGACAACUUCCUGUUUACCGAACACUUGCAUAUUUUUACACUAUUAAUAUUAUCCACUUGCGGCGGGGGUAUCAUCAGUGAGCAGUAGCUCGCAGUUUCACUUGUUUUUUUUGUGUUUUUUUUAUCUCUUUUUUAUCUUUACUGGAGAGUAAAAGACUAUAAUGCACAUGAGGCAUGUAACAGUAUUUGUUUUUCAUUUAUAAAUUACAUUGAUAAAUGCAGAAACUUUUUCAUGUACUUUUAUUACUUUGAGGCAAGAUUGGUAAUUAGAUAUACCAUAAAAGGUUAUCUUGUUUGAUCAUUGAGGGUCAAGGUUUUGUGUAUUGAAUUUUGCCUAAUACCAUUGAGUGAUAUGUUUAUCAUCCAUCCAGAACUUGUUUAGCUGGGAUAAGUACAAAAGUGAUAAACUUUUUAUUUGUUACAAAAUAAUUUAUAUAAAAUAAUCUGGUUUAUUUCCUGUUAUUAAAAGGUAUCAUAUAAUUGACUUGCUCAAUAAUUCUAUAGAAAGUUAACUGACUAAAAAAAAAUCAAUUUAAAUUAGGAUGCAAUAUGAAAGGAUAUAUCACCAACCUGAGAGAAGUAUUUUUAAAUGAUGGAUCUAGAAAACAUAAAAGUAAUAAGGCAUAGAUUACAUUAAAUCAUUUUCAUAUGAUAGAACUUGAAAUAAAAUGAUUUUGCUUUAAAAGCCCUUGAUUUUUUUUUUCAAACCUUGGAGCAUAUCAUGUCUGUCUGACAGAUAUCUAUGUCACUUGGCAUUGAAUUCAUUAAAACUCAUUUUAGAUUGGAUUUAUGCUUCAGAAAUUAUGUAUUUUAACCCUGCUCUGAAGGAAGCAAGGUUAUUUCAAAUUUUAGUCACACUUUUCUAGAAAAUCACUAAUCAGAGCUUGCUGAAAUUUUAUAACUAGCUGCAUGUUAGAAUACAUUUCUUAUGUGUAUUUUCAGAAUACUUUCAUAUUCUUACCCAAAAUGGCCAUGUAUGAAAUUAUCUUAUAUUUCUACCCAAAAUGGCUAUUUAUGAAAUCAUCUUAAACGGAUAGUAGCUACGAUUUUCAUUAAAAUUACUUUUUUAAUCUAUAUGCCGGAUUUUGAACAAAAAGUAAAAUAAUUAUGAUUAAAACAAUUACAGGUUACGUUUCAUUAAGCAUUUAGAAGCUUUUUAACGUUUAACACCUACAUUUAUUUAUUAUCUAUAGAUAAUAAUUCGAUGUUAAGCCCAACCCUUAUUCACAUGACCUUUACUCUUCAGUUCCCAAUGCGCAAUCGCACAUUGUGCCUCGAAGGGAAAAUGGUCGAACAGGGGAAUGUUAUCGUGGAAAUGGAACGCGAAUUUACAGUUUCAGCGAGAAAAGAAACAAAAAAGAGGUGCAGACAAGUUAUUGUAAAUUAAAAAUAAAAAACGUCGAUGAGAUCGGUCAUUAAAAUCACUCAAAACACCUGCAACGAUGGCAAAGUCAAACAGAAGUAGCCGACGGUUUGCGUAAUGUUUACAUUUCUUAAAUUUUCCAGAUCACAUGAAAAAAAAUCUGAACAUGUUCACAAUUGUCAAAAAUAUGUUUACAAAUUUACGGGCAGUAAUCUCCGUCCUUAUAAGAAAUUAGAAAUCAACUUCCUAAACUUUAGUAUUAUUCUUCAAGUGUACCCCUUCAUGGAGGCCCCGAUUUAACACACAAACAUACAAACACGUGUAUACAUUAUCGCCAUUGUUGGAGAAUCUUGGUUGGAAUAAUAUGCCGGUAUUUGUUAUACUUUUUAUUUACAUAAUUUGAUAAAUGGCGUCAAAUAUGUACGUUUAAUAAAGCGUAAUUAUCAAAUAUGCAAGAAAACAAAAAGCACGUGUUCGUAUCUAUAUAUAUCUUGGUUAGCUCACUCGCUAUGUCGGCAAAGUUCGGGAAGUAAACCCGAUGCAUAAUUAAUGAGAUGAAAAGACACACAACACGAUAUGAAUUAUCAAUUAUUAACACUUCUGUAGUUUAUGAAAACAUUCUAGCGAUCUUAUUGCUUAUAUUUAGUACAUAUCUUUGAUUUUAGCAGCUUUAAAACUUGUUCAUAAUUUUGUCAAAAUCGUAGCUACUAUCCCUUUAAAUACCUACCCCAAAAUUGCCAUUUAUGAAACUGUUUAUAUUCUUGCCCAUUAUGGCUAUUUAUGAAAUUGUUGUCACCAAAUUUUCCCAGGAACAACCAAUUAAGGCUUUAAUCUGAAAUUUGAAAUCAUUUGUGAGCAUGCUAUACCCCGUUUCAUGCCUUUCCCAUCCAUCAAUUCUCAACUUCCUAUAACUUAAGUGUGGUAUCAUUUAUGAGCUGUAGCUCACAAUUCAACUUGUUUUAUGUCAUUACAGGAAAGCAAAUGUUCAAGACAGCAUUGAUUUGACCAUGACAUCAAUUUGAGAGAUUUUUUUUUUACCUUUGAAAUAUCAUUUCAGCAUCUAUGACAGUUUUUUUCGUGUGUGUUAAUGUCAUGUUUUGUAUAUAUGGGUUGUCAUUAAAAAUUUCUGAUGCUGCAAUAUUUCUCAUUACACUGUGCACAAAAAUUUAGAGUUCUCAAAUUUUCAAACCUUUUUAAUAUAAUGUCAGAAUAAUCCACAAAGGCUAUGUAUUGCCAAAAAUGUUUAGUAAGCAGAUUUAAAGUUCUGUAUGUGGUUUGUGAUUUGGAAUCAUCUGAUGUUCAGGUUAACUGUAACUGAUGUUUGUUUUAGUGGAAAGGGUACCAUCAUCUAUUUAUAUUGAAAUGUACUAUGUGUUUUUCUACAUGAUUAAUCAAGGUUAUGAGAACAUGAUUCUCUAAGCAUUAGAUAUCAUUUCCUGCCACUUAAGACAUAAUCAAAUGAUGUUGAAUGGUUAAUAUUGAAUUGAUAAUAAAUGUACAUAUUGUACUUACAAGAAAUGAGUAAUGUAUAAUAUUUUUUCUUGCUGCUAAGAUUACUACUGUAAACAAGAGGUAUACUGAUCUUUUGUUGUCUUAAUUGUGUACUGUAACGUAUAAUUACAAAGCUUUAGAUUUCAAAAGAAAGGCUUAAGUGAGAACAUCCAUUCCAAUGCAUGCAGUCAAAUUUGGUUAUUUACCGUUUGUCCAAAUGGUCGAUACUGGAAUUUAGAAGAAAAAAAAACAACACAACAUUAAUUGAAAAUUGAUGUUUGGUGAAAACUAUUUCCUACCUUGUAUGAUUUUUUUAUUCUUUGAGUAGGGGUUAAAAGGGUUUAAAGAACCCCUCCUCUGACAUUUUUCGUAGUUACCUGGCAACGUUGGUAGACCACUAACGCACAUUAACACUUUGAUUUAUAUAAUCAGACUCAAUGUGAUUGUCUAGACCAAAUUUGUUGCAUUUUAUGUUAAAAAAAUAAAGUCUUGGCGAUUGAUGACAGAAUUUGAAAUUUAAACUUAUUUUCUGCAACUUUUUCUUAUCAUUUGCAUUUGAUCUGUUCAUGUCACCCUGUAACAUCGACAAUGAUCAACUGGUCGAUUAAUUUUAUGCAAAAGGAAAUAACUCUUGAAAUUUGUAAAUAAAUUCCUGCCUUGUUGUGCAAGGAAGUGAUAAUUUUACUGACGGAUUUCCUUUUUCCUUAUACAGGUUCUGAAGUAGCUGGAUGCUGUAUACUGUUAAACUAUUGCAUACCUUUAGAGUGAAAGAUAUACGUAGAAGUUACAAUUAAAGGUAAAUUUGUUUUUAAGAAAUUGAGAUAUGUGGUAUGAUUUUCAAAAUAGAACUUAUUUUAAGUUGAUCACUUAUAAACGCAGACGCUGAUUAUGCAUAAUCUGUUGAUCCAUCUGAUCAUGUCUGAAAAACCAAAACUGAAAUAUUUUUAAUUUGUGGAAAACAAAAUCAAAAUAAUAACUUGAGAAGUUAGGUGAAAUGUGAGCAUUUCCUGCCAUGAAAACAAAUAAUCAUAUGAUAUAAUAUAUGACAAGAAUUUAAUUGAUUGUUUGAUGCACAUAUUGUACUUCAGAUAUUAAAUGCAUGUUUUUUAUUUGAAUAAGAUUAUAUGGUUUUCAUUCUGUUUUAAUACAUUGAACAAGAUUGAAGAAUAUUUAAAAGACAGAUGAAAUUAGAAGAUUAAAGAACAAAGAAAAUAUUUUUUUCAGUCUGGACUUUUACAGAGUUAUCUCCCUUUUUGAACACAGUAGCAAGGUUUGGAAUAAUGAAGAAUAACUAUAGAUUUCUUCUAUACAUAUCCAAGAUUAUUUUAAAAGAAUAGUUCCUUCUGAUGUAAAUAUAAAAUUUUGGGGCACGUAAUUCCAGAAAUUCACCUUUUUGACCCGAAAUUGUAAUUUUCUAACCCAAACAGCAAAAGUUUGAAAAUUUUCACAAUGUUGAACAAAUACCUUACAUUAAACGAUGUCCAUUCAAAGUGUUUUGUACAUAAAACAGCAUUGUAUGCCGAAGAGUAUACAAGUCUGGCUUAUAUUCUUCCAAUUUCUUUUAAAAAAUAUUGUUCCCUCAUUUCAAAUUGGAGUAAAAUCUGAUUUUGACACUGUUUUCAACAAAUGAAAGCGCCAUGUUUACACUUUCAUCUGGGUAAUCAAUAAAGAAAAAUAACUUGUGUUUGCAAUGUUUUUUUUAGAGUUAACAUAAAAGAGGCAUUCCAAUCACGAUAAAUUGGGACUCUUCGUCAGCUUUCUGAAGCGUUGGUGAAAGGGUUAAAAAACCAAAGCUUCAGUAAAAUGUUUUAACAUAAGCAAUUUCGUACUUUCCUGUGGACUUCUAAAACUAGAAUAGAGGUGAAUUCUAUCUAUUGAAAUGAUAUGCAACUUCAGAAGAGAUCAUUAUGUUGAAGUCUGAUUUUGAAAAAGUUCUGUUUCUGAAUAAAGAUACUCGUGGAAGUAUUAGUGCUAAUGUAUAAAAGUGAAAGAAUUUCUUAUCAGUCAAAUUAUGAGAAAGAAAUCCUUUCAUGCAGUUACAAAUUUGUUGUGACAUAAUAUGUCAGAUUAAAGCAUGAUAUUUUGAAAAGAGUUGAUAUCAAGAAAUUAUUAAUUCAUUUAAAAUGAAGGAUCAAAUUUUCCCACAGCCUCUAAUUUCACAAGUUUAAAUAUUUUCAUUGACAAUUUCUAAUUGCCAGUGUUGAUAUGUUGAACAUGUUAUUUUUAUUCCUACCAAAUGUUGUUGGUUUUCUCCACACUAUGGUUUCCUCAGCCAGUAAAAACUAACUACCUUGAUAUGGCCAAUAGUACAAAAAAUUGCAUUAAACUCCAACUAUUUAUCUAUCUAGUAUAUAUAUAUUGAAGAAUUUGAGUAAAAGAUUUUAUAGUACGCUCAAAAUUUUCUUUUGAAGAAUGAGAUUAAGUGUCCAAAUGAAUUUGCAUUCUCUAAAUAGUAAAUUCGUUUUUCUAAAAUUUUAUAUUAAAUAUCACCAACAAUUUUGUAAAACUUAAAGUGAUGUAUCAGAAGAUCUUUAUAAGACCUAAAGUAAAGGUUGUUUACCUUUCUCAGACUGACAAAGUUAUAAUAUCACCUGAAAUAAAAACAAAAUGAGUUUGUCUGUCUUUAUAUGUGAUUAGUUAUUGUGAUCAAGGGCAAACAUGGUUGUCCUGGAUAAAUGAUAAGUAUAGUUGUUUUCUGGUGAGUGAGGUCAUUUAGUAUAGUCUGUGCCUGUAGCUAGUGGUACCAACAAAAAGUCAGAUGUGUUCUCAUUAUACGACUGCAAAGACCUUGAACAAAUCAGUAGCACUACCACAAUUCUAGAGUUUUGAAAAUAAUGUCAAAUAUAUAAAGAUUUCAGAACAAAAGAAUAUGUUUAGCUUGCUUUAUAUUUCUUUGUUUCAUUGAUGACAAACUUGACAAAGGGCUAAAGUAGUUGAAGAAAAGUCUGGGAUUUAGAAAACUGUAAUAAUUUUCAAAUAUUAAUAUUUGUCUAUGAUUUUAAGUAUUUUUUUUUUUUUUUGAAUAUGUAAAGUAUAAAGGACAAGGGUCACUUUUUGUUAUAUUUGCCCAGGAAGACAACACAUGCAUUCUUGUUUGAUUUUUCUAUUCUCAGUAUGAAGUUUGUGUCGUAGGGGAUCUAUACUUGUUGACAUUUUGUCUAUUGGUUUUUGGGGAAUAAAUAGUCUGUUUUGAAAUGAUGCCACAUUUCUUAGUUUUUAGUUUCAAGUGUAAAUUUACUACCAAAAAAAGAAAGUGAGAGCAUGCUUUAAUAUCAUUAAUUCAGGAGGAAGUAUAAUAUCAAUAAAAGAGUAAGUGCAAUAAGGUUAGAACAAGAAACAGAAAGAGGUUGAUCAUUUCUUAUUGGUGCUUUUAGAAUUUACUGUCUAGAAGCAAUUAAGGAUGUUUGCUUCUCUGGAUUUCUACUUUUUGUCAGAUAUUCUGAGACCUCUAGUUUUACCUGUACUUUUUUUACUAAAAUUUUAUAACAUAUAGUUCAAAAAUCUUAUAAACAAAAUUUCUUAGCUUUUGAAAGAAACGUGCAGAUGUUAAAUGUAUGAUCAAUUGUUUAUGUCUCAAAAACAAGGACAAAGACCUUUCAUUUUUUCUCCUUUUUUUUUUGAAGUUCUGUUAUUUAUAUACUAUUAAUUUAUUGCAGUCUUUUAAGUAGCUUAUUUUUUUUAGACAGAGGAGUAAACAUCAUUAAAACUCAUUGCUAAGUUUUUAAUUAGAAUUGUUGCCUGUUGCACUUUAAAUUAAUGUCGUAGGUAAUAAAAGGUGCUCUGUAAAGAAAUGUUAAUGUUUAUUUCACAAACAGAUCUGAUUUCAAGUUAAAAUAUAACUCUAUUAUUCUAAGUCAAUUUAAUCAAAUAACUUUUACAUAUAGAUUAACCUUUAGAACAGUGAAAAAUUGUUAUUUUUUUUCUUAAUGAUUCAUUUUCUUUAAAAUACCAAAUAAGGUUGAAAGGAGUGUUAUCAUUAUAAAUAAACUCUUGUUUAUUUUAACUCUGAUAAGUAUUUUUUUUCUAAAAUCAUAUGAUAAUGACUUUCAAUUUAAAAGACAGAAACUUUAUUCUUAAGUUGGGUGUUAAUUUUAUGUUACUCAUGGUUUCAUCUCCCAAGUUGGUAAGACAUAUAUUUCAUGUUUUAAAACAAUUUUUUAUGUUGGUCUUCCAAAAUUGCAUGUUUUGUGUGAUAUUCACUUUUGCUGAACUAGAAUACAUUGUUUAAGGGGCCAGCUGAAGAUAGAUUUGUGGCUUUUGCCUGCUUUCUGUUCUUCUGUGUGUUGUUGUCUCUUUGACACAUCCCCCUUUGCAUUCUCACUUUUAAUUCCAUUUUUUUUUUAAAAUCUUUUGUUAAUUAUAAGCAAGUAUAACCUUGUCCAAAUAUCUGUUCUUUUUGUCAGAAUUUGUAGCCCAUUUUAUGUCAAGGGACAGUUGACUUUGCUCUCAUAUAUGCUUUACAUGGCUUUAACUGAAUUGGUUUUGAAAUGAAAGGAAAUUUCUAUAGAUAAUAUUCACAGUUGAUAAAACAAAUGUUAUUGAAACUAAAUGUUCAUCCCUCAUGUAUUGACUUGUUUUCUACAAAAUUGCUUUGUUGUCAUUUUGAUGAGGUACAAUAAUCCUGUGGUCACUACAUUAAUUUUUGCCCAGCCUGCAUCUAAAUUUGAGGUGUUUAAUUUUUUUUCAAAAGUGACAUCUUUGUUAACAAUCUGUAAAUGAAAUAUAUUUUCCCUGAUUUUAACAUAAGAUGACUAAGAUUUGUAUGGUUAAAGGUCAUGGUCAAGGUCGUUGCCCCAGUGUUCAAGUUCUGUUUUUGGAUUGCCUUUUCUUAGUAACUAUACAUUAGAGGUUAACAAUGUUAUAGAUAUAGAUUUGUUCCGAUGAGUUUUAAGUUCAUCUGACAUUGUUAUAUAUCCUUGACUCCUUUUCCCUCUUCCGUAUUCCUUAUAAUAUCUUCGUUAAAUCUGAAUAACUUUAACUCUACUUUCUGCUAUAUAGAUGACGUUCUUUCACUAAACAAUUCAAAAUUUGGUGACUAUGUGGAACGCAUCUAUCCCAUCGAAUUGGAGAUAGAAGGAUACUACAGAUACAGUUAAGUCGGCUUCAUAUCUUGACUUACAUCUAGAAAUUGACAAUGAGGGUCGGUUGAAAACAAAACUUUACGACAAAAGAGAUGAUUUCAGCUUCCCAAUUGUGAACUUUCCAUUUCUAAGUAGCAACAUUCCAACAGCACCUGCAUACGGGGUAUAUAUCUCCCAAUUGAUACGAUAUUCCCGUGCUUGCAUUUCCUAUCAUGAUUUUCUUGAUAGAGGGUUACUGCUCACAAGGAAGCUAUUAAACCAAGAGUUCCAAAUGGUGAAGUUGAAAUCAUCCCUUUGUAAAUUUUACGGACGCCAUCACGAGUUGGUUGACCGUUAUGGAAUAACCGUUUCACAAAUGAUAUCGGAUAUGUUUCUUACGUCGUAACUACAAUCCCCUUCCCUUUCAUGAAUGUGACCUACCGAAUUAGACUAUUUACCGGAUUUGUAAUCACAUAAGCAACACGACGGGUGCCACAUGUGGAGCAGGAUCUGCUUACCCUUCCGGAGCACCUGAGAUCACCCCUAGUUUUUGGUGGGGUUCGUGUUGUUUAUUCUUUAGUUUUCUAUGUUGUGUCAUGUGUACUAUUGUUUUUCUGUUUGUCUUUUUCAUUUUUAGCCAUGGCGUUGUCAGUUUGUUUUAGAUUUAUGAGUUUGACUGUCCCUUUGGUAUCUUUCGUCCCUCUUUUAUAAUUGUGUAUAACUGUAUAUAGAUUUUUUUGCAUUGGUUUAAGAGUUACUUAGAAUGACUUCAUGUUUAAGUUUGAACAUUUCCUGUUGUUAUAAAUUUAGACUCAAGUAUUUGUACAUGUAGUUUGAUUUAAGACGUAUAUAAGUAAAGAUUACGUCAGGGCUAUUAUUCUGUUUGAAGUAUUUUUUACAUUAUGAUAAAUUAUUAUCUUGACAUUGGAAACUGAAAGAGUUGAUGAUUUUCUGUUCUUUAUUUGUCAGGUUUUGUUAAUUAAACAGUAAAAGGGGCUUGUGAUAGAUCCACAUUUACUUCAACAAUUACACAACAAAGAAGACAUGUGAUAGAUCGUAAUUUUCUUCAACAAUUACACAACAAAGAUUCAAACACAUCAUAUUACUAAGAGUCCUCACGUAUAGGCUAUUUUCUAGUGGCAGUCAUGAUUGCUAAUGAGACAACUAUCAAUUAUGAACAGAAAACGAAGCUGUGAACAAUUACAGGUCACACGUAAAACCUUUAACAAUGAGAAAUACCUAUACCGUAAAAAGUUGCACUUCUGUAAAUAUAGACAUGGCAAUUUGCCAAAGUAACUCCUCUUACAGCUAAAACUGCAACUUUUAUUAUCAAGUUUCAAAAAAAAAUUAUAUUCCAGAUGGAAAGUUCCUUUAUACUACUCUUUUUUCAAAGGUCAAAAUAAAUUAGGGCUGUGCGGCAUAUUUUCAACAUUUACAUGCCCUGAACUUCCAAGAGAUUAAAGAAAUUCUGUACUACCCCUCCCUUGACUUUGGGUCUUCUUCAGAACUCAAUUUAGCCACUAUCUAUGUGUAUUUAUACUGGUACCUUUCCCCUGUUAUGUCCUUAUGAGUUGAAACAGACAUCAUAUCUGGGAACCAGUGUGUAAACAAAAGAAAAUAUCUUUGAAUAUUAUAUAUCUCCCCAAAAAAAGUGUGGUUUGUAAAACAAUUGAAAAGAGAAAACCAAUAGCCUGAUAUAUACUGCAACAAAAGACAAAUAACAAAAAUGACAACAACCUACAACAUUAAUUGGAUUUCAGGCUUGCGACAGGCACUUAAAGAAUGUGGUAGGAUUAGAUGUGGUACGAAUGCCCAACUAGUGAAUAUAAGUCUCCUUCCUUCUCACCAUCCCCCUUAACCUGGGACAGGGGUAUGACAACACUAUAUAUUGAUAAUAAUUUACUACUGUAAGAUUUAUAACUUAUAUUGGAAGAAAACAGAUUUUUGGCACUAAAGUAAAAAAGAAUUUUAAGAUUAUUUCUCUUUAGAUUUACCAUAUUUUGCCAUUGUUCCUAUGAAAUCUAUUGUAAAAGCAAAAUAGUUGCAUAUUUUAUUGUCAGCUAUUUUUUUCCAUUAAUGUUUUAAUUUAAUUUGUUCAUAAAUUCUGCAUUUGUACAUUUUGUUGACAUAGUAUUUAUUUUUUCUUAGAACAAAUUAUGGUAUUGACCAGUGGCUAAAGAAUUGUUAAAAAUACUCAGUUUCUGCAUGAAGGGUAUUGAAAUUCCAAUAAGAAUCAAUUGAUGGAUAAAACCAUUCUGUAUUAAAAAAAUUCAGUUGGCAGGUGUUUAUAGAAAUUUCAUACAUGUAUUCAAAACAUCAAAAUUAUAUGCAUAUGUGUGAUUACCAUUGUUAAAAAAAAAUACUCUUGACUCCAGACAACACUUUAAAUUUUCUUUGACUCAUUUAAAACUGAAAAAGAACUUUUGUACAUUGAGGCAGGAUUCCAUACAUUAGUCCUAUAUUUUCCUUGGUUUCUGAAACAUUAAAAUUUUUUGUAACUUUGUUUAGGCCUAAAAAAAAAAUGUGUGUUUCCGGUAACAUCAUUUUAAAAAAUAGGGUCGGUAGGUCAGUAUUCUUUUUUUUUUUUUACAUUUUUUAUUUUGACAUUGUAGCGAAAUCUGGAAAUUUAUCAUAAUUUUUCCAAGUCCGGGUCCAUAAUUAGUUUCAAAUACCGAAGGUGCAGCCAUUUGCAAUGUUUUUGAAGCACCUGCUGUGCAAAUUUCUUGAAUUUAACCUAUUUGGAAUACCUUUUGACAUUAAUAAAAUGUUUUACUGGCUUUCUGUGCCAGUAGAAGCAAGUUAGAUAAAUUAUUAUGUCGAAUAACAGAAGCCUGUGUCAAAAACAGGGACUGUUGAUACCAUUUUUUUUUUGGAGAUCCAAUAAAAAAAUUAGGGUCAGGCUAAAAAACAGGGUCGGUCGGGUUACCGGAAACUCAGAUUUUUUUCUUUCUCUGCCUUAUAACAUUUACGAUUUUCAUUUUAAUCUUGAUGGUAAAUACUUUUAGUUUUAAUUAAUAUUAAUUUGAAUGCAGAAAUCACAACAAAGUUAUUUUAGACAAAUAUGACAUUUAAAGUUUGACAGCGAAAUCACUAUUUUAAUUCAAAUUUGUUUUGAAUCCAAUUUACAAACAAUUAGAAAUGAAUUAUAGAUAAAGUAAUAUUCCAUUUAUAAAUCUUUUGAAAUACAUUUAAAUAGGGUACAAAUGUAUAUUCAAAACAUAAAAUCACAAGUGCAGUAAAUUGAUGCAUUGAAUUUCUUUACAUUACAAGUUUUCCCAUAUGCACAAUGCAGUUAAAAAGAUCCUUUAUGGCAAAUUUAUUUGAAGUUAUAUUAAAAUUCAAUAAAGAUUAAAAAAGUAAAUAUACUAUAACUGAAUAUAAAUAUUCUAUUAUAAAUGCACACUUCAAAAUCAGUACUGCAUAUAUUCUAUGCUUGAUGCACAUGUAUUGAUUUCAAAAAUAAGUUUUUUUAUACCUCAUAUGUAGUGAAUGUCCAAUCAGAAUGUAAAUUCUAUUUUUAGCUGGUUGACGUGUUGUCUGGAGAUUGUGUGUUUGCUUUGCCAUGCUUUCACUUGUAGCUGUCUUGCUUUUAAAGUAGCUGGUUGCUGUUUGAAUUUUAUGAAAAACUGUGACUUGAUAGUGUGUGAUAAUUACUGUACAUUUUUGUGGACCUUUUUAUACAGUCAUGGAUAGGUAAGCCUAUAGUUGUUAUUGAUAGAUCAACUUGACCUAGAUUUACGAGCAGACGACUACUGACUGUGUAAUGUUUUGACCAGCAGAUAAAAAGGGCAUUUCAGGUCAUUCUAUUUAAUACCUUUAUUUAUAGACUGACCAUACUGAAGUGAACAAAAAUAGCCAUGGUCAGUAGUUUCACUUUGGUCACACUAUAUCUUUUUAACAAAGAAUUUUCC